rnacentral:rRNA from 1 species
AGUACUUGAGUAACCUGCCCUUGACUCUGGGAUAAGCCUGGGAAACUGGGUCUAAUACUGGAUACUACCUCUUACCGCAUGGUGGGUGGUGGAAAGGGUUUUACUGGUUUUGGAUGGGCUCACGGCCUAUCAGCUUGUUGGUGGGGUAAUGGCUCACCAAGGCGACGACGGGUAGCCGGCCUGAGAGGGUGACCGGCCACACUGGGACUGAGACACGGCCCAGACUCCUACGGGAGGCAGCAGUGGGGAAUAUUGCACAAUGGGCGGAAGCCUGAUGCAGCGACGCCGCGUGAGGGAUGACGGCCUUCGGGUUGUAAACCUCUUUCAGUAGGGAAGAAGCGAGAGUGACGGUACCUGCAGAAGAAGCGCCGGCUAACUACGUGCCAGCAGCCGCGGUAAUACGUAGGGCGCAAGCGUUGUCCGGAAUUAUUGGGCGUAAAGAGCUCGUAGGCGGUUUGUCGCGUCUGCUGUGAAAGCCCGGGGCUCAACCCCGGGUCUGCAGUGGGUACGGGCAGACUAGAGUGCAGUAGGGGAGACUGGAAUUCCUGGUGUAGCGGUGAAAUGCGCAGAUAUCAGGAGGAACACCGAUGGCGAAGGCAGGUCUCUGGGCUGUUACUGACGCUGAGGAGCGAAAGCAUGGGGAGCGAACAGGAUUAGAUACCCUGGUAGUCCAUGCCGUAAACGUUGGGCACUAGGUGUGGGGGACAUUCCACGUUUUCCGCGCCGUAGCUAACGCAUUAAGUGCCCCGCCUGGGGAGUACGGCCGCAAGGCUAAAACUCAAAGGAAUUGACGGGGGGCCCGCACAAGCGGCGGAGCAUGCGG